AAGGGUGCAGCUCAGUGGUAGAGUGCAUGCCUAGCAUGCACAAAGUCCUGGGUUCAAUCCCCAGUACCUCCA
rnacentral:tRNA from 1 species